rnacentral:rRNA from 1 species
GAGUUUGAUCCUGGCUCAGGACGAACGCUGGCGGCGCGCCUAACACAUGCAAGUCGAACGAGCGAGAGAGAGCUUGCUUUCUCAAGCGAGUGGCGAACGGGUGAGUAACGCGUGAGGAACCUGCCUCAAAGAGGGGGACAACAGUUGGAAACGACUGCUAAUACCGCAUAAGCCCACAGCUCGGCAUCGAGCAGAGGGAAAAGGAGCAAUCCGCUUUGAGAUGGCCUCGCGUCCGAUUAGCUAGUUGGUGAGGUAAUGGCCCACCAAGGCGACGAUCGGUAGCCGGACUGAGAGGUUGAACGGCCACAUUGGGACUGAGACACGGCCCAGACUCCUACGGGAGGCAGCAGUGGGGAAUAUUGCACAAUGGGGGAAACCCUGAUGCAGCGACGCCGCGUGGAGGAAGAAGGUCUUCGGAUUGUAAACUCCUGUUGUUGAGGAAGAUAAUGACGGUACUCAACAAGGAAGUGACGGCUAACUACGUGCCAGCAGCCGCGGUAAAACGUAGGUCACAAGCGUUGUCCGGAAUUACUGGGUGUAAAGGGAGCGCAGGCGGGAAGACAAGUUGGAAGUGAAAUCUAUGGGCUCAACCCAUAAACUGCUUUCAAAACUGUUUUUCUUGAGUAGUGCAGAGGUAGGCGGAAUUCCCGGUGUAGCGGUGGAAUGCGUAGAUAUCGGGAGGAACACCAGUGGCGAAGGCGGCCUACUGGGCACCAACUGACGCUGAGGCUCGAAAGUGUGGGUAGCAAACAGGAUUAGAUACCCUGGUAGUCCACACCGUAAACGAUGAUUACUAGGUGUUGGAGGAUUGACCCCUUCAGUGCCGCAGUUAACACAAUAAGUAAUCCACCUGGGGAGUACGACCGCAAGGUUGAAACUCAAAGGAAUUGACGGGGGCCCGCACAAGCAGUGGAGUAUGUGGUUUAAUUCGACGCAACGCGAAGAACCUUACCAAGUCUUGACAUCCUGCGACGCACAUAGAAAUAUGUGUUUCCUUCGGGACGCAGAGACAGGUGGUGCAUGGUUGUCGUCAGCUCGUGUCGUGAGAUGCUGGGUUAAGUCCCGCAACGAGCGCAACCCUUACUGUCAGUUACUACGCAAGAGGACUCUGGCAGGACUGCCGUUGACAAAACGGAGGAAGGUGGGGAUGACGUCAAAUCAUCAUGCCCUUUAUGACUUGGGCUACACACGUACUACAAUGGCGUUAAACAAAGAGAAGCAAGACCGCGAGGUGGAGCAAAACUCAGAAACAACGUCCCAGUUCGGACUGCAGGCUGCAACUCGCCUGCACGAAGUCGGAAUUGCUAGUAAUCGUGGGUCAGCAUGCCACGGUGAAUACGUUCCCGGGCCUUGUACACACCGCCCGUC